rnacentral:rRNA from 1 species
UACAGAGGGUGCAAGCGUUAAUCGGAAUUACUGGGCGUAAAGCGUGCGUAGACGGUUAUGUAAGUCGGGUGUGAAAGCCCCGGGCUCAACCUGGGAAUGCCAUUCGAGACUGCAUAGCUAGGGUGCGGAAGAGGGAAGUGGAAUUUCCGGUGUAGCGGUGAAAUGCGUAGAUAUCGGAAGGAACAUCAGUGGCGAAAGCGACUUCCUGGACCAGUACCGACGUUCAGGCACGAAAGCGUGGGGAGCAAACAGG